ACUUUUUUAGUAUAUCAGUACAAUUGACUUCCAAUCAAUUAGCUCUAGUAAAGCCUAGAAAAAAGUA
rnacentral:tRNA from 1 species